UACAGAGGGUGCAAGCGUUAAUCGGAAUUACUGGGCGUAAAGCGUGCGUAGACGGUUAUUUAAGUCAGGUGUGAAAGCCCCGGGCUCAACCUGGGAAUUGCAUUUGAGACUGAAUAGCUAGGGUGCGGAAGAGGGAAGCGGAAUUUCCGGUGUAGCGGUGAAAUGCGUAGAUAUCAGGAGGAACACCAAUUGCGAAGGCAGCUCGCUGGGACGUUACUGACGCUGAGACGCGAAAGCGUGGGGAGCAAACAGG
rnacentral:rRNA from 1 species